CUGAUGCAAUGAUAAAUUGAUA
rnacentral:siRNA from 1 species